UGGUUCGUUGCGCAAAUAGUAAAACGUAGUAAUGAACCCAUCUGAUCAUCAAUUACAAAGGGGUGUGAUAUUCACACACCCAAUUUUACUUUUCACACACCUUUCUAAUUUUUGGCCAUCGGAUAGGAUGAAUUGAAGAAAAUCAACGGAUAGUAAUUAAUAAGGGGUGUGUAAGAAGUAAAAUAGUUUGUGUGGAUAGGACACCCCUUACAUAAAUCCAUGACAACUGACCAACAGUGCAGUGUAGUUGAAGACGAUGCAUGCAGCUAAUUGCUCUCGUUCCUUUAACAACAAAAGGGUUGAACACGACACAUUAAGUGCAUGUUGAAUGCUCUUAAUAAUUAAUAUAUAUUUGCAUUGUUUUUAUUAAAAGUGUUUCAUUUUUUUUCUGAAAUGAUUUUAGUUAAACUCCUGUUUCUCAGUUUUGACUAAUAUUUGGGCAAAUUACUAAUGUGAGGGAUCACUGUGGCCCUAACCUAAUUUUGGAAAAUUUUGAUGUCGAUAAGAUAAUUGAACCCUGCAUCACAGAGACAAGGGUUCCCUACAAUAUUGUUUUAUCAUUCUUGGUCUUUAAUAUUAUUUUAUUGUUCAUUGAGAUUGCUAACACUA
rnacentral:lncRNA from 1 species